GUUGGUGGUGGCUGUGCCAUUAAACCAUUGCAUAAGGAGAGGACACAACAAGAUGUUAAAAGAGCUCUGGUCAAAGUUCAAACGAUGGAGAACCAUGUGGAAAACAUGGUGGAAUUAUGACAUUUCUGUUAGUUUCAUGUAUUAAUGUGAGGAAGGUUACAGCCUCCUUUGUUUUCAUUUGCCACAAAUUUCUUAUAUUAUGGUAUU